AUGGAGGGGGCUCUGACCUGUGUUUUCCUUGUGGCCAUUUUACAAGGUGUGCAGUGUGAGGUGCAGCUGGUGGAGUCUGGGGGAGGCUUGGUGCAGCCUGGGGGGUCCUUGAGACUCUCCUGUGCAGUGUCCGGAUUUACCUUCAGUGGUUAUUGGAUGAACUGGCUCCGACAGGCUCCAGGGAAGGGGCUGGAGUGGAUUUCAUCCAUCGAUGGUAGUAGUAGCACAUACUACCCAGACUCUGUGAAGGGCCGCUUCACCAUCUCCAAAGACAACAGCAAGAGCACACUUUACCUGCAGAUGAACAGCCUGAGAGUGGAGGACACAGCCGUCUAUUACUGUGCUACCGACACAGUGCAGGAAAUCCAGUAUUUUAGGUGA